CUUAAAGGAAUUGACGGGACCGCACAAGCGUGGAUGAUGUGGUUUAAUUCGAUGCAACGCGAAAACCUUACCCACCUUUGACAUGUACGGAAUCCUUUAGAGAUAGAGGAGUGCUCGAAAGAGAGCCGUAACACAGGUGCUGCAUGGCUGUCGUCAGCUCGUGUCGUGAGAUGUUGGGUUAAGUCCCGCAACGAGCGCAACCCUUGUCAUUAGUUGCUACGAAAGGGCACUCUAAUGAGACUGCCGGUGACAAACCGGAGGAAGGUGGGGAUGACGUCAAGUCCUCAUGGCCCUUAUAGGUGGGGCUACACACGUCAUACAAUGGCUGGUACAAAGGGUUGCCAACCCGCGAGGGGGAGCCAAUCCCAUAAAGCCAGUCGUAGUCCGGAUCGCAGUCUGCAACUCGACUGCGUGAAGUCGGAAUCGCUAGUAAUCGUGGAUCAGCAUGUCACGGUGAAUACGUUCCCGGGUCUU
rnacentral:rRNA from 1 species